rfam:Gorilla gorilla gorilla genomic chromosome, chr20, whole genome shotgun sequence
UGAUGUGAGGGCAAUCUGGCUGCGGCAUCUGUCACCCCAUUGAUCACCAGGGUUGAUUCAGCUGAUCUGACUGGUUAGAUGGGUGUCCCCCUCCUCCCUCACUGCUCCAUAUGCAUCCCUCCCAAAGCUGCAUGCUCUGUCGAAGAGGAUGACCAUCCCCGACAGAGGAGGACCAGUCUUCAGUCAAGGGCAUACAAGUACCUCCGCUCCCCUGCUAGAACCUCCAAACAAGCUAUCUAUCAUCUAUCUAUCUAUCUAUCUAUCUAUCUAUCUAUCUAUCUAUCUAUCUGCUAUCUAU